UGUACUUUAGAUGAAAAUUGCCUGGUCGCGAACUAAAGUUUAAACUUCCAAACGCAGCAGUUUGGCUUUAAAAAAGGGAAUUCCACGACAUUUUUAGUCAUUACGGGGCAAUACAUUUAUUUUUUCAUGCGAAAAAAGUGAGACAUAUUUGAGUUUGAGUUUAAAAAGAAGUGGAGACUCGUGGCGAAUAGUGGAAUGUGUCAAGAAAGGUUCAUUUACCUUGUGAAGAAAUGUAGCCGGGCGAGGCGCCUUGAAUGUAGGGCGACUUACAGAAAUACUUCCCAAAAGUCUUCCAGCAACUUUGCCGACUAUCCGCGUCGCAGCCAUCUUCAGACGCCACCCGUAUUAGGCAGUGUAUUUCAGACCAUUCUGGUCGACAACAAUCCUGUAUUUACGUUGCUCUGAACUCUGAAAAGUGGCUAACAAUGUGUAUAAAAAGGCAACAGAAGUAAGCGAAUCAAGUAGAGAUAUCUCGUCAACAGCGGGAUAGAAGGCACAGCCCAGUGUGAAGCGCAUUUCCUCUUUAGCCAGACCCCCGCCCUUUUUUUGCAUAAAACCACCUACAGGGGAGGCGAAAGAAAAAAAAACUAGAGACGGAGCUUCAAUGAUGUAAUUCCCAAAUCAACGGUGUGCUGAUUGCUAUAGCUGGCUAGCAGCUAGUUUGGAUACAGUUACACGCCUACACACCAAAGGAGUGAAGCCAGUGAGUGCAGAGUCAUCAAUACUCCCAGAGAGAAGACUGGGAGGGCCAAGGAAAAUGCUGGAUCCGAUCGAUAUGCUAUGGCAAGCAGUGGAGUUUGAUGCCGAGUAUCCCGCAGUGCCACGACGGCACAAUGGUCGUCUCGCAGCAUCAAAGGCCCGCUGGUGACAGAUGGUGGCCAGGGCAGGGCUGUAAUUUCUACAUCAAGGACGUUGUAGGGGAUGACGAGCAGGUGGAGCAGGAUGAAGCCGAGCGGGGGGAUGCAACCUGUGAACUCACCUG